rnacentral:rRNA from 1 species
AUUGAACGCUGGCGGCAUGCCUUACACAUGCAAGUCGAACGGCAGCACGGGUGCUUGCACCUGGUGGCGAGUGGCGAACGGGUGAGUAAUACAUCGGAACAUGUCCUGUAGUGGGGGAUAGCCCGGCGAAGGCCGGAUUAAUACCGCAUACGAUCUACGGAUGAAAGCGGGGGACCUUCGGGCCUCGCGCUAUAGGGUUGGCCGAUGGCUGAUUAGCUAGUUGGUGGGGUAAAGGCCUACCAAGGCGACGAUCAGUAGCUGGUCUGAGAGGACGACCAGCCACACUGGGACUGAGACACGGCCCAGACUCCUACGGGAGGCAGCAGUGGGGAAUUUUGGACAAAGGGCGAAAGCCUGAUCCAGCAAUGCCGCGUGUGUGAAGAAGGCCUUCGGGUUGUAAAGCACUUUUGUCCGGAAAGAAAUCCUUGGCCCUAAUACGGUCGGGGGAUGACGGUACCGGAAGAAUAAGCACCAGCUAACUACGUG